rnacentral:rRNA from 1 species
CCCUUAGAGUUUGAUCCUGGCUCAGGACGAACGCUGGCGGCGCGCUUAACACAUGCAAGUCGAACGGGGCCUUCUCCUUCGGGAGGGGGUUCAGUGGCGAACGGGUGCGUAACACGUGAGCAACCUGCCCGAGUGUGGGGGAUAACCCGUGGAAACGCGGGCUAAUACCGCAUGAAGUCAUCGACUCGAUUGAGUUGGUGACCAAAGGUCCUGCAAGGGACUGCGCUUGGAGGGGCUCGCGGCGUAUCAGCUAGUUGGUGAGGUAACGGCUCACCAAGGCGACGACGCGUAGCCGACCUGAGAGGAUGAUCGGCCACAUUGGGACUGAGAUACGGCCCAGACUCCUACGGGAGGCAGCAGUGGGGAAUCUUGCGCAAUGGGCGAAAGCCUGACGCAGCGACGCCGCGUGCGGGAGGAAGCUCUUCGGGGUGUAAACCGCUGUCAGGAGGGAAGAAAGGUCACCCGAGGAAAUGCGGGUGGAUUGACGGUACCUCCAAAGGAAGCACCGGCUAACUCUGUGCCAGCAGCCGCGGUAAUACAGAGGGUGCGAGCGUUGUUCGGAAUUACUGGGCGUAAAGCGCGCGUAGGUGGUCUUUUAAGUCCGACUGUGAAAUCCCGGGGCUCAACCCCGUGGGCUGCAGGGGAUACUGGGAGACUGGAGACACGUAGAGGCAAGCGGAAUUCCGGGUGUAGCGGUGGAAUGCGUAGAGAUCCGGAAGAACACCGGAGGCGAAGCGGCUUGCUGGGCGUGAUCUGACGCUGAGCGCGAAAGCGUGGGGAGCGACAGAUAGAUACCCUGGUAGUCACGCCGUAAACGAUGGGUACUAGACGCCUGGG